GGGUUGUGAGGUUAAGCGACUAAGCGUACACGGUGGAUGCCCUGGCAGUCAGAGGCGAUGAAGGACGUGCUAAUCUGCGAUAAGCGUCGGUAAGGUGAUAUGAACCGUUAUAACCGGCGAUUUCCGAAUGGGGAAACCCAGUGUGAUUCGUCACACUAUCAUUAACUGAAUCCAUAGGUUAAUGAGGCGAACCGGGGGAACUGAAACAUCUAAGUACCCCGAGGAAAAGAAAUCAACCGAGAUUCCCCCAGUAGCGGCGAGCGAACGGGGAGCAGCCCAGAGCCUGAAUCAGUGUGUGUGUUAGUGGAAGCGUCUGGAAAGGCGCGCGAUACAGGGUGACAGCCCCGUACACAAAAAUGCACAUGCUGUGAGCUCGAUGAGUAGGGCGGGACACGUGGUAUCCUGUCUGAAUAUGGGGGGACCAUCCUCCAAGGCUAAAUACUCCUGACUGACCGAUAGUGAACCAGUACCGUGAGGGAAAGGCGAAAAGAACCCCGGCGAGGGGAGUGAAAAAGAACCUGAAACCGUGUACGUACAAGCAGUGGGAGCACGCUUAGGCGUGUGACUGCGUACCUUUUGUAUAAUGGGUCAGCGACUUAUAUUCUGUAGCAAGGUUAACCGAAUAGGGGAGCCGAAGGGAAACCGAGUCUUAACUGGGCGUUAAGUUGCAGGGUAUAGACCCGAAACCCGGUGAUCUAGCCAUGGGCAGGUUGAAGGUUGGGUAACACUAACUGGAGGACCGAACCGACUAAUGUUGAAAAAUUAGCGGAUGACUUGUGGCUGGGGGUGAAAGGCCAAUCAAACCGGGAGAUAGCUGGUUCUCCCCGAAAGCUAUUUAGGUAGCGCCUCGUGAAUUCAUCUCCGGGGGUAGAGCACUGUUUCGGCAAGGGGGUCAUCCCGACUUACCAACCCGAUGCAAACUGCGAAUACCGGAGAAUGUUAUCACGGGAGACACACGGCGGGUGCUAACGUCCGUCGUGAAGAGGGAAACAACCCAGACCGCCAGCUAAGGUCCCAAAGUCAUGGUUAAGUGGGAAACGAUGUGGGAAGGCCCAGACAGCCAGGAUGUUGGCUUAGAAGCAGCCAUCAUUUAAAGAAAGCGUAAUAGCUCACUGGUCGAGUCGGCCUGCGCGGAAGAUGUAACGGGGCUAAACCAUGCACCGAAGCUGCGGCAGCGACGCUUAUGCGUUGUUGGGUAGGGGAGCGUUCUGUAAGCCUGUGAAGGUGUACUGUGAGGUAUGCUGGAGGUAUCAGAAGUGCGAAUGCUGACAUAAGUAACGAUAAAGCGGGUGAAAAGCCCGCUCGCCGGAAGACCAAGGGUUCCUGUCCAACGUUAAUCGGGGCAGGGUGAGUCGACCCCUAAGGCGAGGCCGAAAGGCGUAGUCGAUGGGAAACAGGUUAAUAUUCCUGUACUUGGUGUUACUGCGAAGGGGGGACGGAGAAGGCUAUGUUGGCCGGGCGACGGUUGUCCCGGUUUAAGCGUGUAGGCUGGUUUUCCAGGCAAAUCCGGAAAACUAAGGCUGAGGCGUGAUGACGAGGCACUACGGUGCUGAAGCAACAAAUGCCCUGCUUCCAGGAAAAGCCUCUAAGCAUCAGGUAACAUCAAAUCGUACCCCAAACCGACACAGGUGGUCAGGUAGAGAAUACCAAGGCGCUUGAGAGAACUCGGGUGAAGGAACUAGGCAAAAUGGUGCCGUAACUUCGGGAGAAGGCACGCUGAUAUGUAGGUGAAGUCCCUCGCGGAUGGAGCUGAAAUCAGUCGAAGAUACCAGCUGGCUGCAACUGUUUAUUAAAAACACAGCACUGUGCAAACACGAAAGUGGACGUAUACGGUGUGACGCCUGCCCGGUGCCGGAAGGUUAAUUGAUGGGGUCAGCGCAAGCGAAGCUCUUGAUCGAAGCCCCGGUAAACGGCGGCCGUAACUAUAACGGUCCUAAGGUAGCGAAAUUCCUUGUCGGGUAAGUUCCGACCUGCACGAAUGGCGUAAUGAUGGCCAGGCUGUCUCCACCCGAGACUCAGUGAAAUUGAACUCGCUGUGAAGAUGCAGUGUACCCGCGGCAAGACGGAAAGACCCCGUGAACCUUUACUAUAGCUUGACACUGAACAUUGAGCCUUGAUGUGUAGGAUAGGUGGGAGGCUUUGAAGUGUGGACGCCAGUCUGCAUGGAGCCGACCUUGAAAUACCACCCUUUAAUGUUUGAUGUUCUAACGUGGACCCGUAAUCCGGGUUGCGGACAGUGUCUGGUGGGUAGUUUGACUGGGGCGGUCUCCUCCUAAAGAGUAACGGAGGAGCACGAAGGUUGGCUAAUCCUGGUCGGACAUCAGGAGGUUAGUGCAAUGGCAUAAGCCAGCUUGACUGCGAGCGUGACGGCGCGAGCAGGUGCGAAAGCAGGUCAUAGUGAUCCGGUGGUUCUGAAUGGAAGGGCCAUCGCUCAACGGAUAAAAGGUACUCCGGGGAUAACAGGCUGAUACCGCCCAAGAGUUCAUAUCGACGGCGGUGUUUGGCACCUCGAUGUCGGCUCAUCACAUCCUGGGGCUGAAGUAGGUCCCAAGGGUAUGGCUGUUCGCCAUUUAAAGUGGUACGCGAGCUGGGUUUAGAACGUCGUGAGACAGUUCGGUCCCUAUCUGCCGUGGGCGCUGGAGAACUGAGGGGGGCUGCUCCUAGUACGAGAGGACCGGAGUGGACGCAUCACUGGUGUUCGGGUUGUCAUGCCAAUGGCACUGCCCGGUAGCUAAAUGCGGAAGAGAUAAGUGCUGAAAGCAUCUAAGCACGAAACUUGCCCCGAGAUGAGUUCUCCCUGACUCCUUGAGAGUCCUGAAGGAACGUUGAAGACGACGACGUUGAUAGGCCGGGUGUGUAAGCGCAGCGAUGCGUUGAGCUAACCGGUACUAAUGAACCGUGAGGCUUAACCUUACAACGCCGAAGGUGUUU
rnacentral:rRNA from 1 species